CCGGGCGCGGUAAAUCGCUCUGAUGAGACCCGGCCUGUCACGCCGGAGGUCGCGGGUUCGAGUCCCGUCGCUCGCG
rnacentral:tRNA from 1 species